AAGGCCAUGACUAUGAAAAAAAAAAGAUUGUCCUCCCUCAUCUUAAAUGGCACUGACCUCCACUGUAAUCAACCCAUCCAAUGUGUGAGGCCACUUUGAGAAGGUUCUGGAUGAGGUGACCCGCUACACCCCUCGCUACAUAGAUGAGAUGAAGUCUAUCUUUGACCAAUCGCAGGCAGAGGAGAGGAAGAGGAUCAGCAAUGGACAUCACCAACGAUGAGAAUGUGAAGGCUGUGUGUAUAAUGAGAUCCACAAAACUCUUGUCGCCAUCAAUGAGCAAGACAAACUGUGUGGUGGAAGAACACCCACAGACUGGGCAUGCCAACUGACUGGUCUCCGUUCCAGGUGCAACACACAGACACAGUAUGUUAAUGGUAGUUAAUGGGGCCUAACGGAGUGUACUGUAA